AGCGCAGCAACAGCGGUGCGGAGGGCAAAGGGGGGGAUUCCCGCACAGAGGAUCGGUGCCGACCGGCACUCAACCAGCCCGAGAGGCUUGUCUGCUCACCCGCCGGGGUGGGCGGGGCUGCGAGCUGAGGCUCGGGCUUUGGUCGGAACGCAGGGAGAGGACUGGGGUUGGCGGCGUGAACACAGCCUUAAGGGGUUAGUGCACCACGGCUAGCCGGGAGGGAGUCCGGGAAAAGGGCUGGAGCUGCCGAAGAGGCAAGAGACUUUUUCUUCCCUCUUUGUUUCCUGGUGCGUGAGGAGAGAGGAUUAAGAGCGCUGCUUAAAGGAGCUCCAGAGAUGGGCGCGAGCCGCGGCUAAAAACGCGGACCCAAGAGACGGGCAGGAGACGCUAAGGCUGCUGCUGCCGCCGCCAAGAAGCCUGUGUGCAAGCACAGGUCACUAUCCACACCUCCUUUCCGGGGAGCCUGUGCAGCCCGCCACUGCCAGGUUCCCGGGAUCCAGGGACAACUUCCCCAGGAAAACGCACGGCACGCCUCAGGCUGGUGCAACGUCACACCGGCCUCUGCCGCCACAGGCUCGCCCCGCACUCCGGCCCUUCCCCGCCCCCCGGCCUGAGUGAGCUGGAGCCCCUGAAUCAGCGGCUCCUUUAACCCUGUCUUGUCUGAGCGGAAAACAGACGCCCUCCGGCGACCUACACGCAGAGGCGGGGCCAAAUCCAAAGCUGAGCCCCUGGGAGCUGUGAGAACAAAGAAGAGAAAGGGAAAUCUCUCCCAGCAGCCUCAGAAGCAGUGGAUUAAAGCUCCACAAUCAACUUGAUGUACCCUGCAUCUGUGGAAUACAUGAAUAGACAACGAAUCAUCCCAAAUUGAGGAGGUGGACUUUGAGAGCAAGAUUUAUGAUUUUUUCCCCUUCUCCUCUUUUUGUGAGUGUGUAUGUGUAUGCUUCUGUAUGAAAUAUUGUCUGUAUAGCUUUGCUUCCACCAUUUGUCCUAAGGUUCUAUCCGUCCAUUUUGUUUUUUUAAUUUUUUUCUUAAUAAUUAUUUUUUAAUUUAAUAACUUUAUUAUAUUUUACUCUAUUUUAUUUUACUUUAUCUUCCUUCUUUCUUUUUUCCUUCCUUCCCUCCUUUCUUCCUUCCUUCCUUCCUCCCACUGUCUCUCCCUCCCUCCUUCCUUUUUCUUUCUUUCCUUCUUUUCUUCUUUCUUCCUUCCUUCCUUCCUUUCUUUCUCUCUUUCUUUCUUCCUACUUAUACUAAUUCUUUCUCUCUACUUUUACUCCCUUUUAUUCUGAGCCGUGUGGAGGAAAGGCUCUUGUUGCUGCAGCCAGGAGUCAGUGCUGUGCCUCUAAGGUGGGAGAGCCAACUUCAGGACACUAGUCAACAAGAGACCUCCGAGCUCCACAUAUCAAAUGGUGAAAAUAUCCCAGAGAUCUCCAUCUCAACACCAGCACCCAACUUCACUCAACGACCAGCAAGCUACAGGGCUGGACACCCUAUGCCAAACAACUAGCAAAACAGGAACACAACCCCACCCAUUAGCAGAGAGGCUGUCUAAAACCAUAAUAAGUCCACAGACACCCCAAAACACACCACCAGACGUGGACCUGCCCACCAGAGAGACAAGAUCCAGCCUCAUCCACCAGAACACAGGCACUAGUCCCCUCCACCAGGAAGCCUACACAACCUGAACCAACCUUAGCCACUGGGGACAGAUACCAAAAACAACGGGAACUACGAACCUGCAGCCUUUAAAAAGGAGACCCCAAACACAGUAAGAUAAGCAAAAUGAGAAGACAGAAAAACACACAGCAGAUGAAGGAGCAAGAUAAAAACCCACCAGACCUAACAAAUGAAGAGGAAAUAGGCAGUCUACCUGAAAAAGAAUUCAGAAUAAUGAUAAUAAAGAUGAUCCAAAAGCUUGGAAAUAGAAUAGACAAAAUGAAAGAAACAUUUAACAAGGACCUAGAAGAACUAAAGAUGAAACAAACAACGAUGAACAACACAAUAAAUGAAAUGAAAAAUACUCUAGAUGGGAUCAAUAGCAGAAUAACUGAGACAGAAGAACGGAUAAGUGACCUGGAAGAUAAAAUAGGGGAAAUAACUAAUGCAGAGCAGAAUAAAGAAAAAAGAAUGAAAAGAACUGAGGACAGUCUCAGAGACCUCUGGGACAACAUUAAACACACCAACAUUCGAAUUAUAGGGGUUCCAGAAGAAGAAGAGAAAAAGAAAGGGACUGAGAAAAUAUUUGAAGAGAUUAUAGUUGAAAACUUCCCUACUAUGGGAAAGGAAAUAGUUAAUCAAGUCCAAGAAGCACAGAGAGUCUCAUACAGGAUAAAUCCAAGGAGAAAUACGCCGAGACACAUAUUAAUCAAACUGUCAAAAAUUAAAUACAAACAAAGCAUAUUAAAAGCAGCAAGGGAAAUACAACAAAUAACACACAAGGGAAUCCCCAUAAAGUUAACAGCUGAUCUUUCAGCAGAAACUCUGCAAGCCAAAAGGGACUGGCAGGACAUAUUUAAAGUGAUGAAGGAGAGAAACCUGCAACCAAGAUUACUCUACCCAGCAAGGAUCUCAUUCAGAUUUGAUGGAGAAAUUAAAACCUUUACAGACAAGCAAAAGCUGAGAGAGUUCAGCACCACCAAACCAGCUUUACAACAAAUGCUAAAGGAACUACUCUAGGCAAGAAACACAAGAGAAGGAAAAGACCUCCAAUAACAAACCCAAAACAAUUAAGAAAAUGGGAAUAGGAACAUAUAUAUCGAUAAUUACCUUAAAUGUAAAUGGACAAAAUGCUCCCACCAAAAGACACAGAUUGGCUGAAUGGAUACAAAAACAAGACCCAUAUAUAUGCUGUCUACAAGAGACCCACUUCAAACCUAGAGCCACAUACAGACUUAAGUAAGGGGAUGGAAAAAGAUAUUCCAUGCAAAUGGAAACCAAAAGAAAGCUGGAGUAGCAAUUCUCAUAUCAGACAAAAUACACUUUAAAAUAAAGACUAUUACAAGAGACAAAGAAGAACACUACAUAAUGAUCAAGGGAUCGAUCCAAGAAGAAGAUAUAACAAUUGUAAAUAUUUAUGCACCCAACAUAGGAGCACCUCAAUACAUAAGGGAAAUACUAACAGCCAUAAAAGGGGAAAUCGACAGUAACACAUUCGUACUAGGGGACUUUAACACCCCACUUUCACCAAUGGACAGAUCAUCCAAAAUGAAAAUAAAUAAGGAAACACAAGCUUUAAAUGAUACAUUAAACAAGAUGGACUUAAUUGAUAUUUAUAGGACACUCCAUCCAAAAUCAACAGAAUACACAUUUUUCUCAAUUGCUCAUGGAACAUUCUCCAGGAGAGAUCAUAUCUUGGGUCACAAAUCAAGCCUUGGUAAAUUUAAGAAACUUGCAAUCAUAUCAAGUAUCUUUUCUGACCACAAGGCUAUGAGACUAGAUAUCAAUUACAGGAAAAGAUGUGUAAAAAAAACAAACACAUGGAGGCUAAACAAUACACUACUUAAUAACGAAGUGAUCACUGAAGAAAUCAAAGAGGAAAUCAAAAAAUACCUAGAAACAAAUGACAAGGGAGACACGACGACCAAAACCUAUGGGAUGCAGCAAAAGCAGUUCUAAGAGGGAAGUUUAUCGCAAUACAAUCCUACCUUAAGAAACAGGAAACAUCUCAAAUAAACAACCUAACCUUGCACCGAAAUUAAUUAGAGAAAGAAGAACAAAAAAACCCCAAAGUUAGCAGAAGGAAAGAAAUCAUAAAGAUCAGAUCAGAAAUGAAUGAAAAAGAAAUGAAGGAAACAAUAGCAAAGAUCAAUAAAACUAAUGGCUGGUUCUUUGAGAAGAUAAACAAAAUUGAUAAAGCAUUAGGAAGACUCUUCAAGAAAAAAAGGGAGAAGACUCAAAUCAAUAGAAUUAGAAAUGAAAAAGGAGAAGUAACAACUGACACUGCAGAAAUACAAAGGAUCAUGAGUGAUUACUACAAGCAACUGUAUGCCAAUAAAAUGAACAACCUGGAAGAAAUGGACAAAUUCUUAGAAAUGCACACCCUGCCGAGACUGAACCAGGAAGAAAUAAAAACUAUGAACAGACCAAUCACAAACACUGAAAUUGAAACUGUGAUUAAAAUUCUUCCAACAAACAAAAGCUCAGGACCAGAUGUCUUCACAGGCGAAUUCUAUCAAACACUUAGAGAAGAGUUAACACCUAUCCUUCUCAAACUCUUCCAAAAUAUAGCAGAGGGAGGAACACUCCCAAACUCAUUCUACGAGGCCACCAUCACCCUGAUACCAAAACCAGACAAAGAUGUCACAAAGAAAGAAAACUACAGGCCAAUAUCACUGAUGAACAAAGAUGCAAAAAUCCUCAACAAGAUACUAGCAAAGACAAUCCAACAGCACAUUAAAAGGAUCAUACACCAUGAUCAGGUGGGGUUGAUUCCAGGAAUGCAAGGAUUCUUCAAUAUACACAAAUCAAUCAACGUGAUACACCAUAUUAACAAAUUGAAGGAGAAAAACCAUAUGAUCAUCUCAAUAGAUGCAGAGAAAGCUUUUGACUAAGUUCAACACACACUUAUGAUAAAAACCCUGCAGAAAGUAGGCAUAGAGGGAACUUUCCUCAACAUAACAAAGGCCAUAUAUGACAAAUCCACAGCCAACAUCAUCCACAAUGGUGAAAAACUGAAACCAUUCCCACUAAGAUCAGGAACAAGACAAGGUUGCCCACUCUCACCACUGUUAUUCAACAUAGCUUUGGAAGUUUUAGCCACAGCAAUCAGAGACGAAAAAGAAAUAAAUGGAAUCCAAAUCAGAAAAGAAGAAGUAAAGCUGUCACUCUUUGCAGAUGACAUGAUACUAUCCAUAGAGAAUCCUAAAGAUGCUACCAGAAAACUACUAGAGCUAAUCUAUGAAUUUGGUGAAGUAGCAGGAUACAAAAUUAAUGCACAGAAAUCUCUGGCAUUGUUAUACACUAAUGAUGAAAAAUCUGAAAGUGAAAUUAAGAAAACACUCCCAUUUACCACUGCAACAAAAAGAAUAAAAUAUCUAGGAAUAAACCUACAUAAGGAGCCAAAAGACCUGUAUGCAGAAAAUUAUGAUACUGAUGAAAGAAAUUAAAGAUGAUACAAAUAGAUGGAGAGAUAUACCAUGUUCUUGGAUUGGAAGAAUCAACAUUGUGAAAAUGACUCUACUACCCAAAGCAAUCUACAGAUUCAAUGCAAUCCCUAUUAAACUACCACUGGCAUUUUUCACAGAACUAGAACAAAAAGUUUCACAAUUUGUAUGGAAACACAAAAGACCCCGAAUAGCCAAAGCAAUCUUGAGAACGAAAAAUGGAGCUGGAGGAAUCAGGCUCCCUGAUUUCAGACUAUACUACAUAGCUACAGUUAUUAAGACAGUAUGGUACUGGCACAAAAACAGAAAUAUAGAUCAGUGAAACAGGAUAGAAAGCCCAGAGAUAAACCCACGCACAUAUGGUCACCUUAUCUUUGAUAAAGGAGGCAAGAAUAUACAGUGGAGGGCUUCCCUGGUGGCACAGUGGUUGAAAGUCCGCCUGCCAAUGCAGGCGACACGGGUUCGUGCCCUGGUCCAGUAAGAUCCCACAUGCCAUGGAGCAGCUAGGCCCAUGAGUCCUGGCUGCUGAUCCUGUGCAUCUGGAGCCUGUGCUCCACAACACGAGAGGCCACAACAGUGAGAGGCCCUCGUACCAAAAAAAAACCCAAAAAAACAGAAUAUGCAGUGGAGAGGAGACAGCCUCUUCAAUAAGUGGUGCUGGGAAAACUGGACAGCUACAUGUAAAAGUAUGAUAUUAGAACACUCCCUAACACCAUACAAAAAAAUAAGCUCAAAAUGGAUUAAAGACCUAAAUGUUAGGCCAGAAGCUAUCAAAGUCUUAGAGGAAAACAUAGGCAGAACACUCUAUGACAUAAAUCACAGAAAGAUCCUUUAUCACCCAUCUCCUAGAGAAAUGGAAAUAAAAAUAAACAAAUGGGACCUAAUGAAACUUCAAAGCUUUUGCACAGCAAAGGAACCAUAAACAAGACCAAAAGACAACCCUCAGAAUGGCAGAAAAUAUUUGCAAAUGAAGCAACUGACAAAGGAUUAAUCUCCAAAAUUUACAAGCAGCUCAUGCAGCUCAAUAACAAAAAAAGAAACAACCCAAUCCAAAAAUGGGCAGAAGACCUAAAUAGACACUUUUCCAAAGAAGAUAUACAGAUUGCCAACACACACAUGAAAGAAUGCUCAACAUCAUAAUCAUUAGAGAAAUGCAAAGCAAAACUACAAUGAGAUAUCAUCUCACACCGGCCAUCAUCAAAAAAUCUAGAAACAAUAAAUGCUGGAGAGGGUGUGGAGAAAAGGGAACAUUCUUGCACUAUUGGUGGGAAUGUAAAUUGACACAAGCCACUAUGGAGAACAUAUGGAGGUUCCUUAAAAAACUACAAAUAGAACGACCAUACGACCCAGCAAUCCCACUACUGGGCAUAUACCCUGAGAAAACCAUAAUUCAAAAAGAGUUAUGUACCAAUAUGUUCAUUCCAGCUCUAUUUACAAUAGCCAGGACAUGGAAGCAACCUAAGUGUCUAUCGACACAUGAAUGCAUAAAGAAGAUGUCGCACAUAUAUACAAUGGAAUAUUACUCAGCCAUAAAAAGAAACGAAAUUGAGUUAUUUGUAGUGAGGUGGAUGGACCUAGAGUCUGUCAUACAGAGUGAAGUAAGUCAGAAAGAGAAAAACAAAUAACAUAUGCUGACACAUAUGUAUGGAAUCUAAGGAAAAAAAAGUCAUGAAGAACCUAGGGGUAAGACAGGAAUAAAGACACAGACCUACUAGAGAAUGGACUUGAGGAUAUGGGGAGGGGGAAGGGUAAGCUGUGACAAAGUGAGAGAGUGGCAUGGACAUAUAUACACUACCAGACGUAAAAUACAUAGCUAGUGGGAAGUAGCCGCAUAGCACAGGGAGAUCAACUUGGUGGUUUGUGACCACCUAGAAGGGUGGGAUCGGGAGGGUGGGAGGGAGGGAGAUGCAAGAGGGAAGAGAUAUGGGAACAUAUGUAUAUGUAUAUCUGAUUCACUUUGUUAUAAAGCAGAAACUAACACACCAUUGUAAAGCAAUUAUACUCCAAUAAAGAUGUUUUUUAAAAAAAGUAAAUUACAAAUAGGGUGGUUAUAUGCUAUGAAGACAAAACCAGAGGAAAUGGGGUAAUGUCAGGCCGUGGGUAUUACUAUUUUAAAUAGGAUGGUUAAGAAAGAUCUCACCAAAUAGAGCCAUUUGAACAGUGACUGGAGGAGAUCUGGAAGCAAGUUCUGUGUGUAUUUGAAGAGCAGCAUUCCAGGCAACAAAGAGUGUUCAAAGGCUGAGACAGAUAUGGCCUUAGCCUAUUUAAGAAAGAGCAAAGAACCUUGUGUCUUGAGCACAGUGGGAAUAUAUAAGAAAAAAAAAUUGUUCUGACAGAAGACUGGUAUCCAGAUUAUGGAAAGAACUCCAACUCAAAAAUUAUGAGACAACCUAAUUAAGAAAAGGAGAUAUUUUUGAACACACUUCACAAAAGAUAUAUGAAAAGCCAAUAGAAACUUGAAAACAUGCUCAACAUCAUUAGUCAUCAGGGAAAUACAAAUUAAAAACAUAAUGAGAUACUACUACAUACCCGUAAGAUGACUAAAAUUUAAAAUACCUUAAAAAUUUUAAAUACCAAGUGUUGUCAGACAUGCAGGACUGGAACACUCACAUGUUGCUAGUCUGAGUAUAAAAUAGUAUAACCACUUUGGAGAAGAGUUUGGCAGUUUCUUAAGAAAUUAAAUGUAUUCUUACCAUACGCAGCAGUUUCACUCCUUGGUAUUUACCCAGAAGUGAAAACGUGUCCACACAAAGGCUUGAACGUGAAUGUUCAUAGCAACUUGACUCAUAAUAGUCCCAAACUGGAAACAACCCAAUGCCCAACAACACAUCAAUGGAUAAACAAAUUGUGGUAAAUUCAUGUCAUGAAAUACUAUUCAGUAAUAAAAGGAAUGAAUAUACUUGCAACAAUACUUGCAACAUGGAUGUAUCUAAAAACAUGCUCAGCAAAAAAGCAAGAAACUAAAAUUAUGUUACUGUAUGAUUCCAUUUCUAUAAAACUAUAGGAAUUGCAAAUUUAUUCUAGAGUGACUGAAAGCAAAUUAGUGGUUGCUAGGAAUGGGCAAGUGGGAGACAGUGACUGAAAAGAACACCCAAGGGAACCUUUGCAGUGAAGCCAAUGUUCUAUAUCUUGAUGUGGUGUUAGUUAAAAGGGAGUAUGAAUUUGUCAAAAUUCAUCAAAUUAUGUACUUUUAAAGAGUACAUUUUAUAAAAUUAUGCCUCAGUAAAGUCAAUUAAAAAAUAGACGUAGAGGGCUUCCCUGGUGGCACAGUGGUUGAGAGUCUGCCUGCCGAUGCAGGGGAUGCGGGUUCGUGCCCCGGUCCGGGAAGAUCCCACAUGCCGCGGAGCGGCUGGGCCCGUGAGCCAUGGCCGCUGAGCCUGCGCGUCCGGAGCCUGUGCUCCGCAACGGGAGAGGCCACAACAGUGAGAGGCCCACGUACCGCAAAAAAAAAAAAAAAAAAAUAG